rnacentral:rRNA from 1 species
GAUGAACGCUAGCGGCAGGCUUAACACAUGCAAGUCGAGGGGCAGCGUGGAGCAGCAAUGCUCUGACGGCGACCGGCGGAAGGGUGCGUAACACGUGAGCGACUUGCCCGUCACAGGGGGAUAACCGGCGGAAACGGCGACUAAUACCCCAUACGAUGCGAUGCUGCAUGGCAUUGCAUUGAAAGAUUCAUCGGUGGCGGAUAGGCUCGCGGGACAUUAGCUAGACGGCGGGGCAACGGCCCACCGUGGCGACGAUGUCUAGGGGUUCUGAGAGGAAGGCCCCCCCACACUGGGACUGAGACACGGCCCAGACUCCUACGGGAGGCAGCAGUGAGGAAUAUUGGUCAAUGGGCGGAAGCCUGAACCAGCCAUGCCGCGUGAAGGACUAAGGCCCUACGGGUCGUAAACUUCUUUAGACGCAGAGCAAUAAGGUCCACGUGUGGACCGAUGAGAGUAUGCGUAGAAUAAGCAUC